rnacentral:rRNA from 1 species
AACGAACGCUGGCGGCAGGCCUAACACAUGCAAGUCGAACGCCGUAGCAAUACGGAGUGGCAGACGGGUGAGUAACGCGGGGAACCUUCCCUAUGGUUCGGAAUAGCUCAGGGAAACCUGGGGUAAUACCGGAUAAGCCCGUCGGGGGAAAGAUUUAUCGCCAUUGGAUGGGCCCGCGUAGGAUUAGCUAGUUGGUGAGGUAACGGCUCACCAAGGCGACGAUCCUUAGCUGGUCUGAGAGGAUGAUCAGCCACACUGGGACUGAGACACGGCCCAGACUCCUACGGGAGGCAGCAGUGGGGAAUAUUGGACAAUGGGCGCAAGCCUGAUCCAGCCAUGCCGCGUGAGUGACGAAGGCCUUAGGGUUGUAAAGCUCUUUUGGCGGGGAAGAUAAUGACGGUACCCGCAGAAUAAGCUCCGGCUAACUUCGUGCCAGCCGCCGCCGUAA